rnacentral:rRNA from 1 species
CCCUUAGAUGUUCUGGGCCGCACGCGCGCUACACUGACGAUGGCAACGAGUUUUUCCUUCGCCGAAAGGUGUGGGUAAUCUUUUGAAACAUCGUCGUGCUGGGGAUAGAUCAUUGCAAUUUUUGAUCUUGAACGAGGAAUUCCUAGUAAGCGCGAGUCAUCAGCUCGCGUUGAUUACGUCCCUGCCCUUUGUACACACCGCCCGUCGCUACUACUGAUUGAAUGGUUUAGUGAGGACUCCUGAUUGGCGCCGCCGCCCCGGCAACGGAGCAGCGGACUGCCGAAAAGUUGUUCAAACUUGAUCAUUUAGAGGAAGUAAAAGUCGUAACA